rnacentral:rRNA from 1 species
AUAGGCUUGCGUCUGAUUAGCUAGUUGGUGUGGUAACGGCACGACCAAGGCUACGAUCAGUAACUGGGUCUGAGAGGAUGAUCAGUCACACUGGAACUGAGACACGGUCCAGACUCCUACGGGAGGCAGCAGUGAGGAAUAUUGGGCAAUGCUCGAAAGAGUGACCCAGCAACGCCGCGUGGAGGAUGAAGGUAUUCUAUAUCGUAAACUCCUGUGAGAGCAGACGAAAGACAGAUUAUUAAUCUGGAUGACUGUAUGCUCAGAGGAAGCCCCGGCUAACUACGUG